UACGAAGGGGGCGAGCGUUGUUCGGAUUUACUGGGCGUAAAGGGCGCGUAGGCGGCCUUGUCAGUCAGGCGUGAAAGCCCCGGGCUCAACCUGGGAACGGCGCUUGGGACGGCGAGGCUGGAGUUCGGGAGAGGAGAGUGGAAUUCCCAGUGUAGAGGUGAAAUUCGUAGAUAUUCGCAAGAACACCAGUGGCGAAGGCGGCUCACUGGUCCGGAUCUGACGCUGAGGCGCGAAAGCGUGGGGAGCAAACAGG
rnacentral:rRNA from 1 species